GUCGAGGUGCGCGGCGCAGCGCGCGGCGUCAGUCUUGGCUGGCAGACCUGUACUCCGUACUCCGUACUUCGUAGUCGCAGCGGCGCGGUCUUCGGCAGUCUAGUCAUCCACCGCCAUCCUGGGCCCCACGUGUUGCCUGACCAUUCCUGAGCCCAGGUGGGAGCCGUGGCUGAGGUGACGGUCUCAAAGUGGAAGAGCUUACUGUCACAGCAACUCCUUUGCAAGAUGCCCCGGCCAGGAAUAGUUGCUGAACACCCCAGGCCUGCUGAGGUCCCUCCUUGAGUCUCAUGUUCAAGCAGUCUUGUGAGUAAAGCACUGGCUACCCCUUUUCACUUACUAUCUUUUCAAGCAUGUUCUACCACCUUGGAAGGUAAGAGGUUAGUACCUUCUUCCAGAGCAGAGGGCAGGCAUUCUUGCUGUGCGUUGUGAAAGGGUAGAGUCCUGCGCUCCUUUCUUGUAGUAGUCCAAUGGCUCAUGCAGGUGCCUCUGACUCCCCUAUGGGAACUGGGGCUUGGGAGGGUGGUGGAAAAUGCUGAUGCUCUGGCUAUUGCUAUUGUUUUGAAUAAUCAGUGGUCCCUUGUCCCUAAUCGAGGAAUUUUGUAUUUUCUACCAGUGUCCAUGAAACUGGGAGGCGACCGUGUUAGCUGCCAGUUCCUGACAGCCACCUCUCACCAGUGGCUUCACUCUGUGUCCCUGACCCAGCACAUGGCACAAGAGUGCCUGCCAUCCGUCAGUGUUUCUACAGCAGCAAUCCCAAGAUGCUGGAGCUAGAGGGGACCUGACCUGAGAGAAGAUACCUUCAGUGGCUGCCAGGCUGUUCCUUGGAACCUGUGCAGGGGUAAGUGUGCAGGAAGGUCUGACCUGGCAAGUCACUUCACUCCUGUUUUAUUUAGAGUCACCUGGCUAAUGAAAAGUAUUUUGACCUUCCCGUAUGGUAAGUCAGGUGAUUGAAUCCCAGAAAGGUUCAUUGUCUUCAAGCUCACAAUACUAUUUUGGGACAAACAGUUGUCUAGUGUUUGGACUCAUGAACCCUGAUUCUUGAGGGUGGUAUUUUACUGCUUUUGUGAUUUGGUUUCAACAUAUAUAGUCUUUUCUCCGGAGUUACCUUAGGUCAGUGGCCAGUGUUUCAGCCCCUGGAAAGGGCAUGGGCUGCCACUGAGGUUGGUCACAGGCCUCUCAGCUCAUGGUGGGAGUGGGUUCAGGAGUUGGUAAGUAGGGUUCAGUUCUGUUGUUGCCACCGAUGGCAACAGGGGUUUGUAAUAAUCCCUAGUUGUGUCAAUUAUGUCACUUAAUUUUCACAACAGGUCUCUGAAGUGUUUCUCAUCUCAUUUUUACAGAUGAGGCCUGCCUGUGUUAAUACACCUAGUGAGGAGUGGAGCUGAAUUUGAAUGCAAGCCUUGGCACCUUAAUUGAGCAAGUUUGAAACCUCGCUUGUUGCCCUUCUGGAAGGAGUCAGGAAUUUCCAGUUCUGGGCCUGGGCUGUGGGUCUGGCAGACAGACCUCUGGCCCUAGGUUUGGGUGCCAGGUUCUCUGCUUCCAGAAUGAGAAGCUUUGCUGUGCACCAGGACCUGGGCCCUUCUGGUAUCUCCUGAAUGAAAAACAAGGGAUAUUUAAUAAAUAUGGAUUUAAAUAUGUGA
rnacentral:lncRNA from 1 species